GAUCAUGGCUCAGGAUGAACGCUAGCGGCAGGCUUAACACAUGCAAGUCGAGGGGUAGAGGAAGCUUGCUUCCUUGAGACCGGCGCACGGGUGCGUAGCGCGUAUGCAAUCUACCUUAUACAGGGGGAUAGCCCAGAGAAAUUUGGAUUAAUACCCCAUAGUAUAAUUGAAUGGCAUCAUUUAAUUAUUAAAGUUCCAACGGUAUAAGAUGAGCAUGCGUCCCAUUAGCUAGUUGGUGUGGUAACGGCACACCAAGGCGACGAUGGGUAGGGGUCCUGAGAGGAGAUCCCCCACACUGGUACUGAGGCACGGACCAGACUCCUACGGGAGGCAGCAGUGAGGAAUAUUGGUCAAUGGGCGCAAGCCUGAACCAGCCAUGCCGCGUGCAGGAUGACGGUCCUAUGGAUUGUAAACUGCUUUUGUACAGGAAGAAACACUCCCUCGUGAGGGAGCUUGACGGUACUGUAAGAAUAAGGAUCGGCUAACUCCGUG
rnacentral:rRNA from 1 species